GACGUAGGGCGCGAGCGUUGUCCGGAUUUAUUGGGCGUAAAGAGCUCGUAGGCGGCUCGUUACGUCUGCUGUGAAAACCCGGGGCUUAACCCUGGGCUUGCAGUGGAUACGGGCAGACUAGAGGCAGGUAGGGGAGAAUGGAAUUCCCGGUGUAGCGGUGAAAUGCGCAGAUAUCGGGAAGAACACCCGUGGCGAAGGCGGCUCUCUGGGACGGUACUGACGCUGAGACGCGAAAGCGUGGGGAGCGAACAGG
rnacentral:rRNA from 1 species